rnacentral:sRNA from 1 species
AGAAGAAAGAAAACCCA